rnacentral:rRNA from 1 species
GUCUAUGGUCAUACCAUCCUGAAUGCACCCAAUCUCGUCCGAUAAUAGAGGGAAGUAGUACAGGCCAAAAAGUGUGGCUAUAGCUC